GCCCAUGAUGUCACCAGGCCUGCUGGGCUUGCUCUGCCAAGUAUUCCCAGAGCGGUGAUUUAAUUUUGGCUGUGUCACUACUGCUAUGUCAGCUGUGCUGCCGCGAAAGCAGCUCUCAUGUCGUUCCAGCUGGGCUGUCGCUGUCUUUCAAAAUCCUCGUCGUGUGUGACACUACAAAUGGACAAGUCAGCAAGCUCACACAAAUCACCUAACGUCAUUCAGCUCUUUGGUGGGUGAAACGGAGCCAGGGCGCAAAUCCCACAGAGGUGGAGAGGUGGCCCCCCAGACCCCAUCCCAGCAGCUCACAUUGCAGCCCGUCACUGCUACAGGGCUCUGGACCAGCCGGACUAGCACUAAGCCAGGCCCUACAGUCCCACCUCCAUGCCACAGCACAGGCACGACCCUGAGGACCAACCUUCACCCUCCUGAAACUCCACAAAUUGGUGUCUGCAAAGAAGGAACCAGAAGCUGCAACCUCCUGCUCAUUCCUUCUCAUGGAAACAGGAGGCAACACAAGGCAGAAACCACCACAUGCCUGGCAUACAUGCCUGGUGAUGCUCACAUCCCAGUGGGAUCUCCAUGGACUCUGAGCAUCCCCACAAGCAGGAGGAUGCAUAGGCAAAGCUCAGACUGUGAGAUCCAGAUCCAAAGAAGCAUUUGUAUUCCUAACUGCUGUGGAGGUACAGAAAUCUCAGUGAAAUCAGAAGGAUCUCAGCACCCAGAGAGAAGCCAGCUGAUUCUGCCAGUUGAGCAUGGAAAGACACCAGAGUGGAGAAAAUCAUCGGGAGAAAAGGCUUUUGGAGCGAAGAUCGCCGUACGUCACUUGAAGAAAGUUGCUAGAAUUAGCUCACUUGAAUUCCUGUGGAGCUGGGAGGUGUUUGGAGGUAAACCCAAAUUCAUCCACGAUAAUAAGCUCUCCAUCAGGAUGAAUUCAGGCUUAGCUGCAGCCUUUCUGGUUCUCGUUGCUGUGUUACAGCACAGAGCUCUCUGCAACCUGAGGAAUCGCUGCCCGCCGGGGCAUCUCCCCUCAGAAAGCAUGGGACAGCAGCUCCCACUGCAAGUCCUGGCUCAGGAUGGAUCCCCCAAAAUCUAUCUAGAGAGACCUUUUCUGGGCUACAAAAAUGAAUUAGACACAUACAGCCCCUGGGCAAUAAAAAUAAAAUGA
rnacentral:lncRNA from 1 species